GGGGCUGACAAAGCUUAGACGGAUUGUUAACAGAUAUCAAGCACGACGAUUUGUACCGUAAGUACUGAAAAAGUGAAGAAAAAACUUCCAAGCACGUAGCUUAUCUACCUGCUUAUGCCUAAACUAUUUUAUUAGGCUGGCCGGGGUGUGAGGUUCCAUAGCACCUUUGGUUAUCAGAACUAUGGGAAUCGGGCCGCUACGCGACGAAUAGAGGCCUUAAAUCAGUCAUGACGGAUCUAACAGUCUUUGUCUAUUUACUCUGUAGAUUCAAGUCGAGAAUAAAUUAAACAGACUACGCGUGUAGAAUGAUAUCUUAGUCGGCAGUUCGGACCCGGAGGCAGUAUCCGGCAGCUCCACCA
rnacentral:tmRNA from 1 species